rnacentral:rRNA from 1 species
GAAUAGGGUGUCAUAGAGGGUGAAAACCCCGUUUAUGGCUUGGAGAUCGUUGCAAUACGAUACGCUUUCAUAGAGUCGGGUUGUUUGGGAAUGCAGCCCUAAGUAGGUGGUAAACUUCAUCUAAGGCUAAAUAUUAGCGAGAGACCGAUAGCGCAGAAGUACCGUGAGGGAAAGAUGCAAAGUACUUUGAAAGGAGAGUGAAAUAGGA